rnacentral:rRNA from 1 species
AACGAACGCUGGCGGCAUGCCUAACACAUGCAAGUCGAACGAGACCUUCGAGUCUAGUGGCGCACGGGUGCGUAACACGUGGGAAUCUACCCUUGGGUUCGGAAUAACAGUUAGAAAUGACUGCUAAUACCGGAUGAUGACGUAAGUCCAAAGAUUUAUCGCCCAAGGAUGAGCCCGCGUAAGAUUAGCUUGUUGGUGGGGUAAUGGCCUACCAAGGCGACGAUCUUUAGCUGGUCUGAGAGGAUGAUCAGCCACACUGGGACUGAGACACGGCUCAGACUCCUACGGGAGGCAGCAGUGGGGAAUAUUGGACAAUGGGCGAAAGCCUGAUCCAGCAAUGCCGCGUGAGUGAUGAAGGCCUUAGGGUUGUAAAGCUCUUUUACCAGGGAUGAUAAUGACAGUACCUGGAGAAUAAGCUCCGGCUAACUCCGUGCCAGCAGCCGCAGUAA